rnacentral:rRNA from 1 species
GUGAACGCUGGCGGUAGGCCUAACACAUGCAAGUCGAACGGCAGCACAGGAGAGCUUGCUCUCUGGGUGGCGAGUGGCGGACGGGUGAGGAAUGCAUCGGAAUCUACUCUGUCGUGGGGGAUAACGUAGGGAAACUUACGCUAAUACCGCAUACGACCUACGGGUGAAAGCAGGGGAUCUUCGGACCUUGCGCGAUUGAAUGAGCCGAUGCCCGAUUAGCUAGUUGGCGGGGUAAGAGCCCACCAAGGCGACGAUCGGUAGCUGGUCUGAGAGGAUGAUCAGCCACACUGGAACUGAGACACGGUCCAGACUCCUACGGGAGGCAGCAGUGGGGAAUAUUGGACAAUGGGCGCAAGCCUGAUCCAGCCAUACCGCGUGGGUGGAGAAGGCCUUCGGGUUGUAAAGCCCUUUUGUUGGGAAAGAAAAGCAGCCGGUUAAUACCCGGUUGUUCUGACGGUACCCAAAGAAUAAGCACCGGCUAACUUCGUGCCAGCAGCCGCGGUAAUACGAAGGGUGCAAGCGUUACUCGGAAUUACUGGGCGUAAAGCGUGCGUAGGUGGUUGUUUAAGUCUGUUGUGAAAGCCCUGGGCUCAACCUGGGAAUUGCAGUGGAAACUGGGCGACUAGAGUGUGGCAGAGGGUAGUGGAAUUCCUGGGUGUAGCAGUGAAAUGCGUAGAGAUCAGAGAACAUCCGUGGCGAAGCGACUGGCCUGGGCCAACACUGACACUGAGGCACGAAAGCGUGGGGAGCAAACAGGAUUAGAUACCCUGGUAGUCCACGCCCUAAACCGAUGCGAACUGGAUGUUGGGUUCCACUUUGGGCACGCAGUAUCGAAGCUCCCGCGUUAAGUUCCCCCGCCUGGGGAGUACCGGUCUCAAGACUGAAACUCAAAGGAAUUGACGGGGGCACGCACUAGCGGUGGAGUAUGUGGUUAUAUUCGGUGCAACGCGAAGAACCUUACAUGGCCUUGAAACCUCGAGUACUUUCCAGAGAUGGAUUGGGGCCUUCGGGAACUCGAACACAGGUGCUUCAUGGCUGUCGUCAGCUCGUGUCGUGAGAUGUUGGGUUAAGUCCUGCAAGGAGCGCAACCCUUGUCCUUAGUUGCCAGCACGUAAUGGUGGGAACUCUAAGGAGACCGCCGGUGACAAACCGGAGGAAGGUGGGGAUGACAUCAAGUCAUCAUGGCCCUUACGGCCAGGGCUACACACGUAAUACAAUGGUAGGGACAGAGGGCUGCAAGCCGGCGACGGUAAGCCAAUCCCAGAAACCCUAUCUCAGUCCGGAUUGGAGUCUGCAACUCGACUCCAAGAAGUAGGAAUCGCUAGUAAUCGCAGAUCAACAUUGGUGCGGUGAAUACGUUCCCGGGCCUG